GCAUGGACUUCCUGGGACCUUACCCUGUGCUUCCCAGCUCUUGAGGUAGGCUGGGCCUGCAGCGCAUGGAGGUACACAACCUCAGUGUUCAGUCCACAGACAGCAGCACACAGAGGAUCAUCAUUUGUAAGACAAGGAAGUUCUGCACGUGGACCAAAACGUGCAUGUAGGAGAUGGGUGUCACGCCUCCUGCCCAGAGCCCAUCUCCCAGGUUCAGUCUCAAGUGUGAUAUCCCCUGGAGAAGAAGCAGCAGACCUGAAACCUCACCUGCCCACCGAGUUGCUUCUUGGCACUGGCAGUGUCCCUGCGUGGCCACAAGCUCUCUGUGGGAAGGGACCAUCUUUAUGGCAUCGGAAUGGAGAAAAGCUAAAGUGCAACCAUGGUGGCACUCCCAUUACCUUCCAGACAAACGCUGGCCCCCAGUUCUUAAGCUGUGGUCCAUGGUCUGCCUGGGUGACAGCUGGGUGCCUAUGUGUAGGAUGGGGAGAAGAUGAAGGGAAUUGGAGGCGCUUGCCCUGGAAGGUCCACCUUAAGGCUGCACAGACAGAGCCCACGCUGGUGUCUGACUGCUGUCUACUGAGAGAGGGGGGAGGGCUCGUGGUCAGAAAUCCCAGCCCAAGCCUCCUGGUCGCAUCUCCUUGGUUUCUCCUGCAAAGUGAUGGCUUGCGGGAGCAGGAAGGUGGGACAGUCCGCCCCCAACUCUGCUCCGGGUGCUGUGGGCACACCGAGAAGAAUCAGUGCCCUUCCUGAAGUUACGCAGGUGCACAGGGAGGCUGCUUCCCCCACAGGGACAGAAAGAAGACGCCCAUUUGUCUAGAGGAGAGGGGCCCCCUGGGGGCCAGGACCCUCCCCCCUUGAUAGAUUCCUGACAAGUCCUGGAAGUUCUGGGCUCUGAGAAGUUCCGAGAAGGUCAUGACGUUUUCCAUCUGCAGAAUGGGUACACGGUCCCUCUGCCUCCUCCCAGUGCACCUCGGGAAAUGUGGGCCCCAAAGCAGCACACUGCUGGGACAGCCUUACUGGAACGUCCGGCAGUGGCGUGUGGCUGGGGCAUUUUUGCUCCGGAGACAUCCUGAAUUCCUUAGGUCAACACAUGAAGAGGGAAAGAGCCCACAUUUUCCAGAUUCUUCUCACAACCCUCAAAGCAUGACUGUCGUAGGGGAAGCCGAGCAUUCCGAUUUGGGAAGGGAGGGCAGGAACCAAGAUUGAUGGAAGUGAGUCAUCCUCACUCCCCCUUCCAAGGCUCCUGCAGGCAUUCAUUCCACACAGAUGAGCGGGCACCUUUGUGGGCCAGGUGCUGCAGAUAAAAAUACCCCAUCGUUUGGCAAGCGAGAAAUUGGAGACCCAGAGUCCCCAAGGUAACAGGGCAAGUACCCAGCGGAGGUUUUAACCUAGGCAGUCUGACGGCUCAAGAGGCCGGAGGAUGCAGCCAUUGUAGAACCAUCAGCAGUGAUUAAGAUACGGUCCCUGUUCCCCAGGGGAUGCCAAUCAAGUGAGGAGGGCAGGUGAGGCACUCGCUGAUCACGUGAAGACCGAUUGGCUGCAGAGGCAAGCAACGUAAAGGAGCGGUGCAGGUGCAACCAGGGUGGGGGAGGCCCCCCGAGCAGCCAAGGUUUGAGAGACCAGGAAGAACCUCCCCGGGAAGGUCGGGGCGGAAGUGUGCGUCCUCACGAGAGGGAACAGCAGAUGCGAAGUCUCGCGGGCGGGGAUGCCUGGGGUCCGGCAGCUCCUAGAAAGACGGGUGCUCAUCCUAUGAUUCCUGUGAUCUGCGCUGUGCCAUGGAGGGGAGCGGCUGCCGGGACUGCUGCUCUGAGGCUGCUUCACACACGAAGGAGAAAAGGAAUGAAAAGGCAACCAACCGGCCCCCAGAACAGGCUCAGGCUCGCCAGAUUCUGCUUGGACCACCUUGGGAAGCUCAAGGGCACGCGGUCAAGGAAACACCGAGAUGACUGGGGAUGUGCAGACACUUGGACCUUUUUUGGCUUCUAGAACCUUCACUGUCCUCAGCCAGUUCACUCCUUCUUCUCGAGGCGGAUCAGCGAAUUCCCAAGAGAUUCCGGCUGCUCCUCACGGCUUGGGCACUGGCAAGGCUGGGGAUCCAGGCUGUCUUGGUGCCUCAAAACCAAGCAGGGGGGAGCAUCCCACGACUCCCUUCCACUCGCUGCAUGCAGCAGCCGUGGGUAGAGGUGCCAGAGAAGGGCUGGGAAACAAAGGCGGCUUUCACCUGGGACCGGCGAAGAUUGGACCGUGCGGCGCGGCCCCGAGCCCGGAGCAGGCUGCCGUCCUGUGACUCGGAGCUCAAAAAUGUGUGAAAUUUCUUUUUGCUGGGUAUUCUACAUCAAGCGGAACCUGUUCUCAGAGAAACAUUCCAUUUCACAGACCCUAAUGGCUUUCCUCUGUGCCGGUGCAUUAAUGAGGCUCCGGCUCGUUCUAAUCAGAAGGAAGCCAUGCAGAUAAUUGCCUGAAUUUUUAAUUCAGGGUUAUGAUAGGGGAAUGAAAGUCACACUGCUGUUGCUGAGGCCGCCUCCAGUUCCAGCCCAUUGACUUUUGCAAUUUUCUUUGAUUUCCCCCUCUUCUGCUCUUUCUCCCCACUCCCACUUUCUCUCUCUCUCUCUCUCUCUCUCUCCUCUCUCUCUCUCUCUCUCUGGCUUGGUGGGGACUGACAGUUUCGGGUUGGGGCGGAGUGGAGGAAGGGGGCAGCCCUUGGGGUCUCCUACACAGUCUGUCUUCCUUUUUUUUUUUUUUUUCCCUCGCCUUUCCCAUCCCCCUCGCCGGGAGCAAGUGGAUCCUGCUGCACCUGUCACCCCGGGGCUGGUUCUGGGAGAGUGCCCUGCCCUGCCCUCCCCUCCCAGGGUCUCCGUGCCCAUAAGCAAGACAGGAAAUUUGCCUCAGGAGAGGAUCUCCUUUGGCAAUUGACUUCCCAUUUCAUCUCAGCUUUUAGGACAGGGGAGAGAAAUGAGAAGGCAGAGUGGAAAGAAACGGGGCGGCCCGAGCAGCUUAGAGCCCCGGUUCCUUGCAAAGGCAGUUUGCUCAGCCAUGCAGGAAGCUGGAGGAACCUAAGAUUGGGGUCCUCCUUGGAUUCUUUAACUCCUGCUGUAACAAUCGCGGGGUGCCAAAACUUCCAAGCACUGACCAGAUCUGAAAACUACAGGUGAUAGAAUGAGAAUGCCACCUGCAUUCACUGCCACCGGCCUGCAGUGAGAAAGGAGCCCGAGGUCACUAGCAAAGGGUGCACUCAGCUUCCCCUGGAUCUGGGACCUUGGGGCCAGACAGAAUUUGCCAGGGGGAGAGGCAACCCUUGAGUCCAGCUCCAAGCACACAAGCUGGCCUUGUGAGAACAACUGUGGCUGCAAGAGGAGCUCCUUCUCCCAGCACUAGCACGAGUGUCCCCGUGAGCGCAUGUUCCUGCCUUCAGACGGGACUCAGCACAGGGACCCUUUCUCCUGCAGACUGAGCUCAGAAUUGUUGGGCACUGGCCAUGUGGCUUCAGAGACCAGAAUUGAGGUCCACGUCCCUGGCUCUUGGUAGGUUUGGGGUUCCCACUUGCAAGAAAAAGAUGUUUGCACUGUGCACAAGCACCCCCUGGGUACCAGAGGCUUUAUGUAGCAUCGUUAGGUUUAGUCCUGACGAGCACCUGGUGAAGGGAUGACUGUGCUGCAGAUCGGGAAGCUCGGGUUCACCAGAAAGAAGAAACCUUGCUCCCACUCCCACCCUGCCUGGCCGGGCAAGGUUUCAGUCGGGGAAGCCAGACUGGCUAUAAGGACCGCUGGCAUGGUCCUCCCAGCAGGCUGCAGCUCUCCCCGUACCAUGCUGGUGGUCUUUGCCCACCAUGGGGCUUCUGUUGCCUCAAUUCGCUGUCACCCCAGGCACCCCUCUGCUGGGAAGGCCACCUGCAGUCACCUGAACACUGAGGGAGGAGGGGGAAGGCGAGGCUCCCCCAAGAACUUCCCAUCUCCUCAGACCGGGGGCCUUGUCGAAGCUCUGUGAUGUUGUCUGACACUGCGGGUGUCUGCACAGGUGCUUGCGGCCCUCUGUUGAACUUUUUAAGCAAAAUCCACUUCCAUUUCUUUUAAUGGAAAAACACGAGGCCAGGCCCACCUUGUGGUGCAGCAGGCUAAGCCACUGCUUGCAAUGCCAGCAUCCUGUAUAGGAGUGCUGGUUUGAGUCCUGGCUGCUCCACUUCCGAUCCACCUUCCAGCUAAAGCACCUGCUAAGUUAGUGGAUGAUGGCCCAAGUACGCAGGUCCCUUGCCACCUGUGUGGGAGACCCAGAUGGAGUUCUGGGGUCCUGGGGUCCUGGCUUCUGCCUGGCCUAGCCCCAGCUGUUGUAGCCAUUUGGGCUGUGAUCCAGUGGAUGGAAGAUUGUCUCUGUGUCUGUGUAUGUGUGACUCUACCUUCCAAAGAAACAAAUCUUUUUUAGAAAUAAAGGUGUGUCUGGCUGGC